CCUGAACGCUGGCGGCGUGGCUAAGACAUGCAAGUCGCACGGUGUAGCAAUACACAGUGGCGAACGGGUGAGUAAUGAAUCGCUAAUGUACCCCGGACUCUGGGAUAGCUACCCGAAAGGGUAGGUAAUACCAGAUGAGACCACGGCAUCGCAUGAUGUUGUGCUCAAAGGUCCGCCGGUCUGGGAGCAGGCGAUUUCGUAUCAGCUAGUUGGUGAGGUAACGGCUCACCAAGGCGACGACGCGUAGCCGGACUGAGAGGUUGGCCGGCCACAUUGGGACUGAGACACUGCCCAGACUCCGUACGGGGCUGCAGUAACGAAUCUUCCGCAAUGCACGAAAGUGUGACGGAGCGACGCCGCGU
rnacentral:rRNA from 1 species